rnacentral:lncRNA from 1 species
GCAGCAACAAAAUUUCUGUGAAUUUCCAGGGAUUAUAGGCAGGCAUUCUCCGAACUUGUAUCCUUGAAUCGAACAUAUUGCCACAUAGCAAGUCUUGUCGUUGAAAGACCCGUCACAUAUCUGAUGAAAACAUUUAUUUUCACCUGCAUCAAGAAUUUCAUAUUUCUAAUUAACAGCUAUCCUAAAUUUUCAAAAAAUUAAAACUCUUGAAAUUAAAAACAAAUUUACCUCCAAGUGCAUUUGCUGUGGUGAUAAGUAGGACAAAAAUGAACACCAUCUUCUGUGACACCAUUUUGCACUUGAAUUAUUAUUAGACUAUGA